rnacentral:lncRNA from 1 species
GAAGAACGAGAGCAGCGUUCAUGUUAUUGAUUUUGGAAUUUGCUAUGGUUUCCAGUGGCCGUGCCUCGUCAGAAAACUAUCAUUAAGACCUGGUGGUCCUCCGAAGCUUCGAAUUACAGGAAUUGAGCUUCCUCAGCGAGGAUUUAGACCUGCAGAAAGGGUGGAGGAAACCGGACGGCGUCUAGCAAACUACUGCAAGAAGUUCAAUGUACCAUUUGAAUACAACUUCAUUGCACAGAAAUGGGAAACCAUCCGUCUCAAGGAUCUAAAGAUAGACAGGAAUGAAAUAACUCUUGUUAGCUGUUUGUACAGACUGAAGAACCUUCCUGAUGAAACUGUGGCAUUGAAUUGUCCAAGAGAAGCUGUGUUGAAGCUGAUCAGGAAGAUUAAUCCAAAAGUCUUCUUCCAUGGAGUUGCCAAUGGAAGUUAUAACGCACCGUUUUUCCUGACUCGGUUUAAGGAAGCACUCUACCACUUCUCAUCGUUGUUUGAUAUGUUUGAGGCUAAUGUGCCUCGUGAAGACACGCAGAGGUCAAUGCUUGAGAGAGGGUUGUUUGGAAGGGAUGCUAUAAAUGUUAUAGCUUGUGAGGGUGCCGAGAGGGUCGAAAGGCCUGAGACCUACAAGCAGUGGCAGGUCAGGAACAAGAGAGCUGGGUUCAAGCAAAUCAGGUUGGAUUCUGAUUUGGUGAAUGAAACCAAAGCAAUGGUGAAGAAGGAAUACCAUAAAGAUUUUGUAGUCGAUGUGGAUUGUAAAUGGGUUUUGAAGGGAUGGAAAGGACGUAUUUUGUAUGCUUUAUCUGCUUGGGUUCCUGCUUAAGCAAAAUGUCCAAAAGGUGUUUUGAAUGGUAGAUUGAAGUUUCAAAAGGAAUAGUGAACCAACACAUACUAAUUUUGUAUUGAAAAAUGAAUUUGUUUUCAUUGGAAUUUAUUUUUAUGUCUAUGAUAUGAUCUGUUGUUGUUGUCAAGUGUUAAAAAGAUGUAUGUAGAUUAGAGAACAAGUCUUAUUGUUCCAUCAUGGAAUGGAAACAUGGGACCAACAAAAACAUUGAUCACAUUUUAAUGCAUUCACAUUGAAUUCAAAACAGAAGUUAGUACUUCAAAUGAUUUAUAUAUUGAUAUAAUAAUAACAGGUUGUGACGAAUGACUUGGGGAACAAGGGAAAACCUGCAUCUGACUCUUGCACAUGUUUGACCACUUCAUAUUAUUUCAUAUAUUUCUAAAACAUGAAAAAUCAAAGACUAGAUCACCCAGCACUUAUCAAUCAAUCUGGUAUUAUUACGAUAUAAUAUCAUAUCAUAUAUCAUCAUAAGAUAAAAUAAUAAGAAAGAGGGAUUGGCGGCUAUGAUACUCCUUCCUAGCAUCUUCCUUAGUACAAAGAAAGAAUCAUUUAUGAAUUCUAUAUAACAAAGCUGUGACUCCAAUUCAUCAAACAAUGUUAGCUCCUCUUCAGUUGUUAGAUAGCAACUUUUCCUAGGUUUGUCCACGGUUAUAUUCACUAGUGUCUACAAUAUUUUUACUCUAAUUCAUUCUUCUUUGUUCUAUUCUAAAUAUCAAAAUCAUUAUUAUCAUCCAAAAUAGAGUCGGCUAUGUAGUUUUAUGAAUCUUAUUUUCUUGCUGUUAUCAAAUAUAUCAAUCAACUAUGCUAUCUUUUCCUGCUUCUGUUUUUGUUCUGUCUAUGUUUUAGUUGAUUCAUCAAAGUUUUCCUAAUCAGAUGAAUAUUCUUGGCUUCUCAGACACAAUCUUCCAAAACAUAUAUUGUAAGAGUCUGAAUUUUUUGUUUCAAUUUUGAUAUUAGCCUUGUUUCAAUAUGCUUUCUCCAAACACCUUUCUGCAAGAUUUUAGUGUUCCAAACUCAGUAAACCAAGUAACAAAUGGGUUUGAAUUAGAAGAUUCACCAUCUUCACCUUCUUCUUCUGGCACAAGCUCAAAUGGACAAUUCUUGGAACCGACAAGAUAUUCCAAUAACAUCCUAAGAUACAUAAAUGACAUCCUCAUGGAUGAAGAAGAUGACUUGGAGCAAAAACCUUGCAUGUUGCAGGAAUGUUUAAGACUUCAGGCUGCUGAAAAGUCCUUCUAUGAUGUUCUUGGCCAUAACCAGCCUUCACCGAAUGAUAGCACUGACCCAGAUGGAAAUUUCAAUUGCGCUGCUAGUUUUGAGAGAAAUGGCAGCAGCUGCAUCGCUGAUAACUCAUAUGAAUCUAACUGGGUCAAUCAUGUCGUCGAAUUCGAAUCUUUUCCCAUACAACUAAAAAGUCCUUUAAUAGAAAAAAACUACUAUGACUUGACAGAAGCUGAUCCAGUUGUCAUCGAGACACAAGGUGCUAACCAUUUUCACAACGGAACUUGGAGUUGGAAUGACAUUCAACCAGUGACGUUGGAAGAAGUUUUACCUUCAACAGUACCAGAAAAAAGAAGUCGUAAGAUGGAUAGAGAUAAUGAUACUUGUAAUGAACAAGAGGGAAGAGGUAGCAAGGUUUCAGCUAUUCUCUCUGAUGAAUUAGAGCCACCAGAGAUUUUAGAUGAGGUACUGCUUUAUCAGAAAGGAAAGACUCUCACUCAAUACCAACAAGCAUCACAUAAUGUUGAUUCAGGAGGAAAGGCAAAGGAAACACAUUCGCGUUUGAAGAAAGCAUCUACGACAAACAAUGCCGCGGCUGUGGAUUUGUGGACCAUGCUAAAUCAAUGUGCACAAGCUGUGGCGAGCUACGAUCAAAGGAAUACAGAUGAGCUACUCAAACAGAUUAGGCAUCACUCUUCGCCUUUCGGCGAUGGACUCCAACGUUUAGCUCAUUACUUUGCUAAUGGUCUUGAGAUAAGAUUGGCUGCUGAGACGCCAUCAUAUCAGCCUCUUGAUGUGGCAACUGCUGGAGAUAUGUUGAAAGCUUACAAACUAUUUGUUACCGCGUCUCCUUUGCAGAGAGUGACAAAUACUUUGCUAACCAAAACGAUUUUCAAAAUAGUGAAGAACGAGAGCAGCGUUCAUGUUAUUGAUUUUGGAAUUUGCUAUGGUUUCCAGUGGCCGUGCCUCGUCAGAAGACUAUCAUUAAGACCUGGUGGUCCUCCAAAGCUUCGAAUUACAGGAAUUGAGCUUCCUCAACCAGGAUUUAGACCUACAGAAAGGGUGGAGGAAACCGGACGGCGUCUAGCAAAAUACUGCAAGAAGUUCAAUGUACCAUUUGAAUACAACUUCAUUGCACAGAAAUGGGAAACCGUCUGUCUCGAGGAUCUAAAGAUAGACAGGAAUGAAAUAACUCUUGUUAGCUGUUUGUACAGACUGAAGAAC